rnacentral:rRNA from 1 species
UACGUAGGCAGCAAGCGUUGUUCGGAAUUACUGGGCGUAAAGAGUAUGUAGGCGGUGCUCUAAGUUCGGUGUGAAAUCUCCCGGCUUAACUGGGAGGGUGCGCCGAAAACUGCGAGGCUAGAGUGCGGGAGAGGAGAGCGGAAUUCCUGGUGUAGCGGUGAAAUGCGCAGAUAUCGGGAGGAACACCGGUGGCGAAGGCAGCCUCCUGGGCCAACACUGACGCUCAUGCACGAAAGCGUGGGGAGCAAACAGG